rnacentral:rRNA from 1 species
UACGUAGGUCCCGAGCGUUGUCCGGAUUUAUUGGGCGUAAAGCGAGCGCAGGUGGUUUAUUAAGUCUGGUGUAAAAGGCAGUGGCUCAACCAUUGUAUGCAUUGGAAACUGGUAGACUUGAGUGCAGGAGAGGAGAGUGGAAUUCCAUGUGUAGCGGUGAAAUGCGUAGAUAUAUGGAGGAACACCGGUGGCGAAGGCGGCUCUCUGGCCUGUAACUGACACUGAGGCUCGAAAGCGUGGGGAGCAAACAGG